AUCCUUGAUAUUCAGGAGUACUCAGAAGCAUCCUUAUUUGAACAGGAGGGUACCUAAAAGAGAACUUAAAAGGCGUUUGAGAACUUUCAGGAUCUUAUUUGCAACUCUAAACAAUAUUGCAUACCGCCUCAUUACUAGAAAGGCAAUACUACCUUCAUGUGUUUUGUUACAGGUUAAAGGACCAACCCAAGACAUCUGCCAUGUACCUGUUUCUUAAAAGCUAAUAUGAACUGUGUAAAAAUUCAGGAAUCAAGAGCUGCUGCAGAACAGGCACAAACUUCAACAGCUUGCAGGGAUCCUGGUUAAGUGCUGUGGGGGGUGACACAAAAGGUAGAAAACAAGACCAGAGGAAUACCUGUCUGUUUCCCUUCUGGCUCCAUGGAAUGUGCACACACUCAGAGGAAGCAGAUCGUGUGUCUCAAAGGCCAUGUACACUCCACACAGCUGAAAGUAGUAAUCCAGGUGAGUUGGAUGGAGACUAAAAUGCUUUUCCUCAGAUGAGGUGUAUGCUUUGCAUAUUGACAAGUGGUAUUUUUCCUGAAUCACCUCCUGAAGGUGAAUUUUUGUCUUCAUUGACAAUGCUGGGAACCUAGGGAAAUUGUCUGAAUUUAGCUGGGUUAAGUGGUGUGAGUACCUCUUUCAGUCAUAAAAGUAGAACAUAGACGCUCAUUUAAAUUGUAGUGCUAGCAGAGCUACAAAACAAUGAUAAUCACAAUAUAAUUAGAAUCUGUAUCAUGAGAAAGUUAUGUAUAUGAAAGUGUUAGAAUGACAAUAAACUUCAGAAAGACAGAUUUAAUAAAAUGAGG
rnacentral:lncRNA from 1 species